GUUUUACCCGUGGCAGAUCAGCUUCUGCUUUCUAAAGGGAAGAGCAUGUCAUUUUAUAACUCAAUUGGUUCUGCUUUCUGCCUGUUUUGCAUUUAAUUGUGCAGUCAUUCGGUACGUGGAGAGGGACAGAACAAAUAUCAUUAUUUUCAGCAGACAGUUUCUGCUGUUUUGCUCUCCUUCAUUAGAUAGAAACAACCACGCUCCUGAAAACCAAAAAUGAUCACGUAUAAAAAGUCCCCCCAAAAUUACACUUUCUAAGAAGGAACGUAACUGUAAUAACAACCCUCUCUCACAACAAACACGUUUUAGUUAAAAUGUGAUCAUCUGAGGCAACACCCUGGUUGUGCAGGAGCUUUCUGGUGCACCUUGGAGCUAUGAUGCCAAGGCUGAGGUUUGCUCCAUGCUCUGCUCCCCACGCUGGGCAGCAGGGCAGACCCAGGCACCCAGGCUCCCACCCGCAGCCCCUGGGGCCUUUCUGGAUCCCUGCCCUGGUGAUACAGACACAAAGUGAUUUUUGCAGGACAAAAGAAGAAACAGUUUCACUGCCUGGAGGAGGUACUACAGACGUCCUAACAUUUUCUGAAAGCUGAAAUCCCACAGGCUGUAUUCCAGCUGGGUUUGUUCGCCCUGAACGAUGUGCAUCCUCAAGAUGCCUUUAUUUGCUUUAGGUCCAAACGGAGCAGCCACGUGCCAGAUUUGUACUUUCACUAAUUAUCAGCUUGAAUUCGCUUUUAAAGUUUGGCCCUCGGUGCCCAAGCAGUAAUACUCCUUCCCUGCUCUACGUCCCUGCUCGGACAUGAACUCAAUGCCCACGUGCAGAGAAGGGCUCUCCGCAAUUUGUUGUCACUCAUCUCCCAGGUGACGGCCCCACCUCCCACCAGACCCACAGGAGACAGCCACGUGCCAUGGGAAGAACGACACCGAUAGUUACAAAUACCCACUUGGGGCUAAUCAGAACCACUUCCAGCUGUAGCUUUCCAAAAUGGGGGACUCUGCAGAGCAGCUUUUCCAGGGAGAAAUGGCAGCUGCUCCUUUCCUCUCCUUUGUCAAAUACGAGUGGAGAAUUUUACCGGAACGGACCUUUUCCUAUGAAAGCUCUGAUUCUGAAUGAGUGGGCCUCCUCCUCCAUCCCCCAGACAAUCCCAGCUCACACAUACUUUUCCAGAUACAAGCUGAAGCUUCUCCGGGAUGCGCUGGUUAUCUGCCUCAGAUUAAAAGAGUGAGUGCCAUGUUGGGAAGUGAUUUGUAUAGAUCGCUGGGUUUUAAUGAUAAGUAUAAAGGACUUCACCUCUUCAGGAAUGUCACUGCAGAAACUGAGAGCUGAACACGAUCUCCUUGGAAAGCAAUUUGCAGUGCAAUUACAAAAUACCGGGGUGUGUGUCAUGGAGAGCGUGUGGAUUGCCGAGGUUUAAUUCACCAUUUACUGGAGGCAGGCGUUCUGUUAUUACUGACAUCCUUGUGAUGUGCUCAGUGGUGGCUUUCACAUGCUAAAACAAAUUAAAGAAUUUUCUCCAGCCGAAAGGUCUGCCUUUACCUGAGUGCCUUUGUUCACUGCAUGCCCAGCUCUGAAGACGAUGAAAGUUGCAAGGAAUGCAUAACAGCUAAAUCAGCUUGCUGUGCAGCGUGUCAGUUAGCAUGUCAUCAGCAAAAGCUCAAAGAUCACCCCAAGCUGAUGAACCUGGACACAAAAAGAGUCCAGCCACUCCACAACCCCCUUUCCUCUUGGGUGGGGGCAGGGGUACGGCUGGAACAAUCUUAACGUUUUCAAAUGAUUAUUUUUUUAUCUUUAAAGAAAACAAACUGAAUCACUG
ensembl:lncRNA